CGCUUGUGACCAGACUUGGGCGCGGCGGAUCAUCCGGGGUUCUCCCCGGUGCACUUCGCCGCGUCCAGGCCAGCAUCAGUUCGUCGCGGGGGAAAAAGGCUUCGGGAACGUGGCUCCUCCGGGAGUGUUAUAGCCCGUUGCAUAAUACCCUGCGGUGGACUGAGGACCGCGCAUCUGCAAGGAUGCUGGCGUAAU
rnacentral:rRNA from 1 species